UACAGAGGGUGCAAGCGUUGUUCGGAAUUAUUGGGCGUAAAGGGCGCGUAGGCGGUGCGGUAAGUCCGCAGUGAAAUCUCUGGGCUCAACUCAGAGUCUGCUGUGGAAACUGCCGUGCUCGAGUGUGGGAGAGGUGAGUGGAAUUCCCGGUGUAGCGGUGAAAUGCGUAGAUAUCGAGAGGAACACCAGAGGUGAAGACGGGUUGCUGGGCCGACACUGACGCUGACAGCGCGAAAGCCAGGGGAGCAAACGGG
rnacentral:rRNA from 1 species